UACGGGGGGGGCAAGCGUUGUUCGGAAUUACUGGGCGUAAAGGGCUCGUAGGCGGCCAACUAAGUCAGACGUGAAAUCCCUCGGCUUAACCGGGGAACUGCGUCUGAUACUGGAUGGCUUGAGGUUGGGAGAGGGAUGCGGAAUUCCAGGUGUAGCGGUGAAAUACGUAGAUAUCAUUUGGAACGCCAAUGGUGAAAACAGGUAGCUGGGGCUGUGCUGACACUGAGACACGAAAGCCAGGGGAGCAAACGGG
rnacentral:rRNA from 1 species